GAUGAACGCUGGCGGCGUGCUUAACACAUGCAAGUCGAACGGCAAGGCCCUGAUUUCGUGGGGUGCUCGAGUGGCGAACGGGUGCGUGACACGUGAGUAUCCUGCCCUUGACUUUGGGAUAACUUCAGGAAACUGGGGCUAAUAUAGGACAGCAGCUCCUGUUGCAUGGUGGGGGUUGGAUCGUUUCGGCGGUUGUGGAUGGAUUAGCGGGUUAUCAGCUUGUUGGUGGGGUAGUGGCUUACCAAGGCUUCGGCGGGUCGCCGGCCUGAGAGGGUGACCGGCGACAUGGGUACUAAGAGACGGCGCAGAGUCCUACAGGGGGCAGCGGGGGGGAACAUUGCACAAUGAUCGGAAGCCGGAUGCAGCAACGCUGGGGUCGGGAUGACGGUCUGCGGGGAGAGAACCGCUGUAGCCUGAGACGAAGCUGGUGUGACGGUAAUGGAUGAAUAAGCACCGGCUAACUACGUG
rnacentral:rRNA from 1 species